rnacentral:snRNA from 1 species
AUCAUUUCUUGGCCUUUUGGCUAAGAUCAAGUGUAGUAUCUGUUCUUAUCAGCUUAAUCUCUGAUAUGUCCUUUAGCUGGACAAUAUACUUUUUUAAAAAAGGGCAAAAGCUUUCAACAGGCAGUUCACAAAAUGAGUUAGGCAAAUGGUAAAUAAGCACCUGAACAAUGUUUAACUUCAU